rnacentral:sRNA from 1 species
GAACACCAAAACAAACCUGGAGAGCAUCCUCUCCUACCCCAAGGACUUCACCUGUGUCCACCAGGCCCUGAAGGGCUUCACGACCAAAGGUGUCACCUCAGUCUCUCAGAUCUUCCACAGCCCAGUGGACUGAAGGCUUUUGGAGAGCAAAAGCCAGGAAGUUUUGUCACAAACUUCCACUGAGGCCAGGAAGCAGAGUCUAUUCCGUGCCAAAUGAAGGGAAGAAAAGAGGGAAAAUCUAGGCAAAUGAAAUUUAAUAUCUCAAAAAGAUUAUCUUGCCAAGCCAUAGUCACAUAGCAAGCUGAGGCAGCAGAGACUUGGGGCUACUUCUCGUUCUUGGUUCUGGGUUUGCCUUCUUUGGGCCUCAUUUGCCACAUCUGUAAGAGGAGUGGGCUGGAUCGCGCUCCACCGUGCCGUAUUCACUAAGUGAGCAGAUAGAACCAUAGGAGGCAUGCUCACUCUCAAAUCUUGCUCGUGGAAAGAACGACGUGUUCAGGGGACUCAUGCCUCCCUUUCUCAACAUACCCCCAGACCUGGCCAUAAGGGACACCUUUGUGAAUGCCUCUCGGACCCUGUAC